rnacentral:ncRNA from 1 species
UUUGUACACACCGCCCGUCGCUACUACCGAUUGAAUGGUUUAGUGAGGUCCUCCGAUUGGACCCGGUCCGGGCGGCGACGUCCGAGCCGGCGUCCGAGAAGACGAUCUAACUUGAUCAUUUAGAGGAAGUAAAAGUCGUAACAAGGUUUCCGUAGGUGAACCUGCGGAAGGAUCAUUA